rnacentral:rRNA from 2 species
AGGGCGCACGGUGGAUGCCUUGACACUAGGAGUCGAUGAAGGACGGGACUAACGCCGAUAUGCUUCGGGGAGCUGUAAGUAAGCUUUGAUCCGAAGAUUUCCGAAUGGGGAAACCCACCAUACGUAAUGGUAUGGUAUCCUUAUCUGAAUACAUAGGGUAAGGAAGACAGACCCAGGGAACUGAAACAUCUAAGUACCUGGAGGAAGAGAAAGCAAAUGCGAUUUCCUGAGUAGCGGCGAGCGAAACGGAACAUAGCCCAAACCAAGAGGCUUGCCUCUUGGGGUUGUAGGACAUUCUAUACGGAGUUACAAAGGAACGAGGUAGACGAAGCGACCUGGAAAGGUCCGUCGUAGAGGGUAACAACCCCGUAGUCGAAACUUCGUUCUCUCUUGAAUGUAUCCUGAGUACGGCGGAACACGUGAAAUUCCGUCGGAAUCUGGGAGGACCAUCUCCCAAGGCUAAAUACUCCCUAGUGAUCGAUAGUGAACCAGUACCGUGAGGGAAAGGUGAAAAGCACCCCGGAAGGGGAGUGAAAGAGAUCCUGAAACCGUGUGCCUACAAAUAGUCAGAGCCCGUUAACGGGUGAUGGCGUGCCUUUUGUAGAAUGAACCGGCGAGUUACGAUCCCGUGCGAGGUUAAGCUGAAGAGGCGGAGCCGCAGCGAAAGCGAGUCUGAAUAGGGCGUUUAGUACGUGGUCGUAGACCCGAAACCAGGUGAUCUACCCAUGUCCAGGGUGAAGUUCAGGUAACACUGAAUGGAGGCCCGAACCCACGCACGUUGAAAAGUGCGGGGAUGAGGUGUGGGUAGCGGAGAAAUUCCAAUCGAACCUGGAGAUAGCUGGUUCUCCCCGAAAUAGCUUUAGGGCUAGCCUUAAGUGUAAGAGUCUUGGAGGUAGAGCACUGAUUGGACUAGGGGUCCUCAUCGGAUUACCGAAUUCAGUCAAACUCCGAAUGCCAAUGACUUAUCCUUAGGAGUCAGACUGCGAGUGAUAAGAUCCGUAGUCAAAAGGGAAACAGCCCAGACCGCCAGCUAAGGUCCCAAAGUGUGUAUUAAGUGGAAAAGGAUGUGGAGUUGCUUAGACAACUAGGAUGUUGGCUUAGAAGCAGCCACCAUUUAAAGAGUGCGUAAUAGCUCACUAGUCGAGUGACUCUGCGCCGAAAAUGUACCGGGGCUAAAUACACCACCGAAGCUGCGGAUUGAUACCAAUGGUAUCAGUGGUAGGGGAGCGUUCUAAGGACAGUGAAGUCAGACCGGAAGGACUGGUGGAGUGCUUAGAAGUGAGAAUGCCGGUAUGAGUAGCGAAAGACGGGUGAGAAUCCCGUCCACCGAAUGCCUAAGGUUUCCUGAGGAAGGCUCGUCCGCUCAGGGUUAGUCAGGACCUAAGCCGAGGCCGACAGGCGUAGGCGAUGGACAACAGGUUGAUAUUCCUGUACCACCUCUUUAUCGUUUGAGCAAUGGAGGGACGCAGAAGGAUAGAAGAAGCGUGCGAUUGGUUGUGCACGUCCAAGCAGUUAGGCUGAUAAGUAGGCAAAUCCGCUUAUCGUAAAGGCUGAGCUGUGAUGGGGAAGCUCCUUAUGGAGCGAAGUCUUUGAUUCCCCGCUGCCAAGAAAAGCUUCUAGCGAGAUAAAAGGUGCCUGUACCGCAAACCGACACAGGUAGGCGAGGAGAGAAUCCUAAGGUGUGCGAGAGAACUCUGGUUAAGGAACUCGGCAAAAUGACCCCGUAACUUCGGGAGAAGGGGUGCUUUCUUAACGGAAAGCCGCAGUGAAUAGGCCCAAGCGACUGUUUAGCAAAAACACAGCUCUCUGCGAAGCCGUAAGGCGAAGUAUAGGGGGUGACACCUGCCCGGUGCUGGAAGGUUAAGGAGAGGGGUUAGCGUAAGCGAAGCUCUGAACUGAAGCCCCAGUAAACGGCGGCCGUAACUAUAACGGUCCUAAGGUAGCGAAAUUCCUUGUCGGGUAAGUUCCGACCCGCACGAAAGGUGUAACGAUUUGGGCACUGUCUCAACCAGAGACUCGGUGAAAUUAUAGUACCUGUGAAGAUGCAGGUUACCCGCGACAGGACGGAAAGACCCCGUGGAGCUUUACUGUAGCCUGAUAUUGAAUUUUGGUACAGUUUGUACAGGAUAGGCGGGAGCCUUUGAAACCGGAGCGCUAGCUUCGGUGGAGGCGCUGGUGGGAUACCGCCCUGACUGUAUUGAAAUUCUAACCUACGGGUCUUAUCGACCCGGGAGACAGUGUCAGGUGGGCAGUUUGACUGGGGCGGUCGCCUCCUAAAGUGUAACGGAGGCGCCCAAAGGUUCCCUCAGAAUGGUUGGAAAUCAUUCGUAGAGUGCAAAGGCAUAAGGGAGCUUGACUGCGAGACCUACAAGUCGAGCAGGGACGAAAGUCGGGCUUAGUGAUCCGGUGGUUCCGCAUGGAAGGGCCAUCGCUCAACGGAUAAAAGCUACCCCGGGGAUAACAGGCUUAUCUCCCCCAAGAGUCCACAUCGACGGGGAGGUUUGGCACCUCGAUGUCGGCUCAUCGCAUCCUGGGGCUGUAGUCGGUCCCAAGGGUUGGGCUGUUCGCCCAUUAAAGCGGUACGCGAGCUGGGUUCAGAACGUCGUGAGACAGUUCGGUCCCUAUCCGUCGUGGGCGUAGGAAAUUUGAGAGGAGCUGUCCUUAGUACGAGAGGACCGGGAUGGACGCACCGCUGGUGUACCAGUUGUUCUGCCAAGGGCAUAGCUGGGUAGCUAUGUGCGGAAGGGAUAAGUGCUGAAAGCAUCUAAGCAUGAAGCCCCCCUCAAGAUGAGAUUUCCCAUAGCGUAAGCUAGU